UACAGAGGUCUCAAGCGUUGUUCGGAUUCAUUGGGCGUAAAGGGUGCGUAGGCGGCGCGGUAAGUCGGGUGUGAAAUCUUGGAGCUUAACUCCGAAACUGCAUUCGAUACUGCCGUGCUUGAGGACUGGAGAGGAGACUGGAAUUUACGGUGUAGCGGUGAAAUGCGUAGAUAUCGUAAGGAAGACCAGUGGCGAAGGCAGGUCUCUGGGACUGACACUGACGCUCAUGCACGAAAGGCGUGGGAGCAA
rnacentral:rRNA from 1 species